rnacentral:rRNA from 1 species
GAACGCUGGCGGCGUGCUUAACACAUGCAAGUCGAACGAAGCACUUUAUUUGAUUUCCUUCGGGACUGAUUAUUUUGUGACUGAGUGGCGGACGGGUGAGUAACGCGUGGGUAACCUGCCUUGUACAGGGGGAUAACAGUUGGAAACGGCUGCUAAUACCGCAUAAGCGCACAGCAUCGCAUGAUGCAGUGUGAAGAACUCCGGUGGUAUAAGAUGGACCCGCGUUGGAUUAGCUAGUUGGUGAGGUAACGGCCCACCAAGGCGACGAUCCAUAGCCGACCUGAGAGGGUGACCGGCCACAUUGGGACUGAGACACGGCCCAAACUCCUACGGGAGGCAGCAGUGGGGAAUAUUGCACAAUGGGCGAAAGCCUGAUGCAGCGACGCCGCGUGAGCGAAGAAGUAUUUCGGUAUGUAAAGCUCUAUCAGCAGGGAAGAUAAUGACGGUACCUGACUAAGAAGCACCGGCUAAAUACGUG